CUGGCAGAAGAGGCUCGACAAGCAUGUGAUGGGGGCAGCUAUGAGAUGCUCGUUUCCCUGGGUAUUUCUCUGAGUCCAGAGCAGGCCCCAAGUCCAGCUAGCCCUGCCCAGGAGGAACUGAAUCAAAGGCAGACACCUGAGCAGCAGCAAGAGGAAGCAACCAUGAUUCCACCUGAGCCAGGCACUGGGAUUCCAGCAAGCACCAGCCCUUUAUCACUUAAACAGGAGGAAGAAUCUGCAGAGGGAGGAGAGUUGCCACCCUCCCCUUCCACAGAUAGCCUGCUUUCUGUGGAGCCAGGGGCGGAACCUCCAGGGCUAGCCAAUGGGGAGCCGCCUUGUGGAGGGUGUGGCCUGCGUUUCUGCCGCGGGAGCAGCGAGGACGUCUAGGUCUCAAACUGCCAACUGCGUCCAAGACGACCAUCCUGAUUCUGUAUCGUGAGGCCAGGAAGGGCCGCCUGUAGGGGACACAGCGGCUACAACAAGACGAAGCAGAAUCGCGCGCAGCCAUGACUGAGGCGGCCGC
rnacentral:lncRNA from 1 species